rnacentral:rRNA from 1 species
GACGAACGCUGGCGGCGUGCUUAACACAUGCAAGUCGAACGGAAAGGCCUGCUUUCCCUUGUGGGUUGCGGGUACUCGAGUGGCGAACGGGUGAGUAACGCGUGAGUGAUCUGCCCCCAACUUGGGUAUAAGCCUGGGAAACUGGGUCUAAUUCCCGAUAGGACUGCAGGGUGGUGCCUGUGGUGGAAAACGAUUUUCUAGUGGUUGGGGAUGAGCUCGCGGCCUAUCAGCUUGUUGGUGGGGUAAUGGCCUACCAAGGCGGCGACGGGUAGCCGGCCUGGGAGGGUGGACGGCCACAUUGGAACUGAGAUACGGCCAAGACUCCUACGGGAGGCAGCAGUGGGGAAUAUUGCACAAUGGGCGGAAGCCUGAUGCAGCGACGCCGCGUGGGGGAUGACGGCCUUCGGGUUGUAAACUCCUUUCGACCGCGAGGAAGCCACCUGGUUGGAAGGGUGGUGACGGUAGUGGUAGAAGAAGCACCGGCUAACUACGUG